ACGCUGGCGGCGUGCCUAAUACAUGCAAGUAGAACGCUGAAGAGAGGAGCUUGCUCUUCUUGGAUGAGUUGCGAACGGGUGAGUAACGCGUAGGUAACCUGCCUUGUAGCGGGGGAUAACUAUUGGAAACGAUAGCUAAUACCGCAUAACAAUGGAUGACCCAUGUCAUUUAUUUGAAAGGGGCAAAUGCUCCACUACAAGAUGGACCUGCGUUGUAUUAGCUAGUAGGUGAGGUAACGGCUCACCUAGGCGACGAUACAUAGCCGACCUGAGAGGGUGAUCGGCCACACUGGGACUGAGACACGGCCCAGACUCCUACGGGAGGCAGCAGUAGGGAAUCUUCGGCAAUGGGGGCAACCCUGACCGAGCAACGCCGCGUGAGUGAAGAAGGUUUUCGGAUCGUAAAGCUCUGUUGUAAGUCAAGAACGAGUGUGAGAGUGGAAAGUUCACACUGUGACGGUAGCUUACCAGAAAGGGACGGCUAACUACGUGCCAGCAGCCGCGGUAAUACGUAGGUCCCGAGCGUUGUCCGGAUUUAUUGGGCGUAAAGCGAGCGCAGGCGGUUUGAUAAGUCUGAAGUUAAAGGCUGUGGCUCAACCAUAGUUCGCUUUGGAAACUGUCAAACUUGAGUGCAGAAGGGGAGAGUGGAAUUCCAUGUGUAGCGGUGAAAUGCGUAGAUAUAUGGAGGAACACCGGUGGCGAAAGCGGCUCUCUGGUCUGUAACUGACGCUGAGGCUCGAAAGCGUGGGGAGCGAACAGGAUUAGAUACCCUGGUAGUCCACGCCGUAAACGAUGAGUGCUAGGUGUUGGAUCCUUUCCGGGAUUCAGUGCCGCAGCUAACGCAUUAAGCACUCCGCCUGGGGAGUACGACCGCAAGGUUGAAACUCAAAGGAAUUGACGGGGGCCCGCACAAGCGGUG
rnacentral:rRNA from 1 species